CAAUGGGUUUCUGUGUAGUUCAGCAUUUAUAAAAUAUUUUUAUUAUUGUAAUUUGAUGAUUUUCUACUAUGCUAAUACAUUUAAAUGUCUUUGUACAUGUAAUAUGAUUAUAAACGCACACCCUUGCAUAGUUUAUUUGACUCGUCCAUGUACAGACGUUCAACGCAUCCUGUGGUAUGCGCAUGCGCGACGGUGCGCGGUACUAUUGUGAUGACGAAAUUUGCGCCUCAGGGGUCUCCGAGCUGUUGUGAGCAAGGGCUACCACCACAAUGGAUAUACCAAGCUGGAGGGCUACUUUUUGAUAUAGUCUACUCAAAACUUUUAUUGUUUUACUUGAUUUUAUUUUAUUAAAAUGUUAACAUACAUAAACGAAGCCAAGCAAAUAUACGCACGUGCGUUGUCGCGGUUACGCCUCUGGUCGGAACUUUACUUCCGGGUUCUGUUCUGACUAGUGGCUAAAAUGAACUCUGGAACAACCCCAUCAAAAAUAACAAAAUGUUUUGGUUACCUAAAGGGGGAGACGGCGAUCAUGGAUGUUUUAGCUAUGAAAUAAGAACUAAGGGGGUCUUUUCCGGUGUCUAUCUGCUUUCUGUUGUCCAUGAGCUGAGAGGCCACCAGUGUCAUGGAGAGCUUUAGUGUUUGGUGUGUUUGGAGCAGACAGCUUCGGAAUAUCAAUCAGUCGCUCCGAUUGAAGCAGCAGGAAAACUCAGAGACUCAUCUGAUGGCAGACUGAUGGAGAGACUGUGAACCUCAGCCAAAAGGGAUACAAACUCUGCCCUGGCCGCUCAUCUCUGAUUGGUGGUGAGUUAAAGGUCCAUCAGCAGCAUGCUCCAGAUUUAGAGAUGCAAGAAGAAGCAGCUGGGCGGUCUGAACAUGACUCUCCUUUCUCAUGGCUUUGAGGUGCAGCAAAUCACGUGAAACAUGUUCAGAUGUGUUCCCGUAUUAGACGGAUGUACUUAAAAUAUUUGUCUAAUGAUAAUCUAAGGAGUGGUUU